rnacentral:rRNA from 1 species
UAGAGUUUGAUCAUGGCUCAGAUUGAACGCUGGCGGCAGGCCUAACACAUGCAAGUCGAACGGUAACAGGAAUUAGCUUGCUAAUUCGCUGACGAGCGGCGGACGGGUGAGUAAUGCCUGGGAAUAUGCCUUAGUGUGGGGGAUAACUAUUGGAAACGAUAGCUAAUACCGCAUAAUGUCUUCGGACCAAAGAGGGGGACCUUCGGGCCUCUCGCGCUAAGAUUAGCCCAGGUGAGAUUAGCUUGUUGGUGAGGUAAAAGCUCACCAAGGCGACGAUCUCUAGCUGGUCUGAGAGGAUGAUCAGCCACACUGGAACUGAGACACGGUCCAGACUCCUACGGGAGGCAGCAGUGGGGAAUAUUGCACAAUGGGCGCAAGCCUGAUGCAGCCAUGCCGCGUGUAUGAAGAAGGCCUUCGGGUUGUAAAGUACUUUCAGUGGGGAGGAAGGUGUUGUCGUUAAUAGCGGCAGCAUUUGACGUUACCCACAGAAGAAGCACCGGCUAACUCCGUGCCAGCAGCCGCGGUAAUACGGAGGGUGCGAGCGUUAAUCGGAAUUACUGGGCGUAAAGCGCAUGCAGGUGGUUCAUUAAGUCAGAUGUGAAAGCCCGGGGCUCAACCUCGGAACCGCAUUUGAAACUGGUGAACUAGAGUGCUGUAGAGAGGGGUAGAAUUUCAAUCCCGCG